UAGUCCACGCCGUAAACGAUGGAUACUAGGUGUCCGGGAAGUUAACCUCCUGGGUACUACAGCUAACGCGUUAAGUAUCCCGCCUGGGGAGUACGGUCGCAAGGCUAAAACUCAAAGGAAUUGACGGGGGCCCGCACAAGCGGUGGAGUAUGUGGUUUAAUUCGAAGCAACGCGCAGAACCUUACCUACCCUUAACAUUUCACGCUCGCCUCAGAGAUGAGGUUUUCUCUUCGGAGACGUGAGGAUAGGUGCUGCAUGGCUGUCGUCAGCUCGUGUCGUAAGAUGUCUGGUUAAGUCCAAUAACGAGCGCAACCCUUAUCCUUAGUUACCAGCAUUGAGUUGGGGACUCUAGGGAGACUGCCGGUGUUAAACCGGAGGAAGGCGGGGAUGACGUCAAGUCAUCACGGCCCUUACGUCCAGGGCUACACACGUGCUACAAUGGUAGAGACAGAGGGCAGCCACUUGGUGACAAGGAGCUAAUCCUUAAACUCUAAUCUCAAGUUCGGAUUGAAGUCUGCAACUCGACUU
rnacentral:rRNA from 1 species